AUCUCUGUAGCGCAAUGGAUAGUGUGUGUGUGUGUCGGACUUAUAAUCCAAAGGUCGUGGGUUCGAAUUUCACCUGGGAUG